AGCACAUGUGUUUGUUUUUGUCUAAGUUGUGAACUAAAACUUACAGACAAGUGCAAAAAAUAAAUGGUCUUUUGCAAGCCAGAACUCACUGUUCACAAUGAGCUUUGAUAUGUGUAAGAAGAACUACAAC
rnacentral:snoRNA from 1 species